UACGUAGGGUGCAAGCGUUGUCCGGAAUUAUUGGGCGUAAAGAGCUCGUAGGUGGCCUGUCGCGUCGGCUGUGAAAACCCGCAGCUCAACUGUGGGCUUGCAGCUGGAUACGGGCAGGCUUGAGUUCGGUAGGGGAGACUGGAAUUCCUGGUGUAGCGGUGAAAUGCGCAGAUAUCAGGAGGAACACCGAUGGCGAAGGCAGAUCUCCUGGGCCGUAACUGACGCUGAGGAGCGAAAGCGUGGGGAGCGAACAGGA
rnacentral:rRNA from 1 species